rnacentral:rRNA from 1 species
CCUACGGGAGGCAGCAGUGAGGAAUAUUGGUCAAUGGUCGCGAGCCUGAACCAGCCAAGUAGCGUGAAGGAUGAAUGUCCUACGGGUUGUAAACCUCUUUUAUAAAGGAAUAAAGUGAGGCACGUGUGCCUGUUUGUAUGUACUUUAUGAAUAAGGAUCGGCUAACUCCGUGCCAGCAGCCGCGGUAAUACGGAGGAUCCGAGCGUUAUCCGGAUUUAUUGGGUUUAAAGGGAGCGUAGGUGGGUUGUUAAGUCAGUUGUGAAAGUUUGCGGCUCAACCGUAAAAUUGCAAUUGAUACUGGCAGCCUUGAGUACAGGUGAGGUAGGCGGAAUGCGUGGUGUAGCGGUGAAAUGCUUAGAUAUCGCGAAGAACUCCGAUUGCGAAGGCAGCAUAC